rnacentral:lncRNA from 12 species
GGAAAUUACUUCUGCAGCUUGUGUGUCCCUAAGAAGAACGAGAAGCUACAUGUCAGUGCCCAGGACCUGCAGCUGUCUGACUGCAUUUGUACGAUGCGCCGAACACAAGCUGCCGAGAGCCGGGCUUUGCCCGUUCGGCGGAGCGCCCGGAGCCGGUGCGAGGCUCGGCCACAGCGAGCGCUGCCGCCGGGCCCCCCCCCCCCCCCCCCCCCCCCCCCCCACAGCGAGCGCUGCCGCCGGGCCCGCCACGCUCCGGGCCCCGGAGCCGACUGAUCCCGCUCCGCCCGGGAUGGGGGCACCGAGGCCGGAACAGGCGGGGAUCGAGCGGGAUAGAAGGGGAACCGAGGCGGGAGCGAAGGGGGACUAAGAGGGGGCUGAGGAGGGAUAGGGAGGGGGCUGAGGUGGGAUCGAGUGGGGACCGAAGAGGGGAACAGGGCGGGAUCGAGGGAGGGACUGAGGCGGGACCGAAGGGAGACUGAGGGUGGGCUGAGGUGGGAUCGAGUGGGGACCGAAGAGGGGAACAGGGCGGGAUCGAGGGAGGGACUGAGGCGGGACCGAAGGGAGACUGAGGGUAGGGGGGACCGAAGGGGCACCGCGGCGGGAUCGAGGGGGGACCGAAGGGGCACCGCGGCGGGAUCGAGGGGGGACCGAAGGGGCACCGCGGCGGGAUCGAGGGGGGACCGAAGGGGCACCGCGGCGGGAUCGAGGGGGGACCGAAGGGGCACCGCGGCGGGAUCGAGGGGGGACCGAAGGGGCACCGCGGCGGGAUCGAGGGGGGACCGAAGGGGCACCGCGGCGGGAUCGAGGGGGGACCGAAGGGGCACCGCGGCGGGAUCGAGGGGGGACCGAAGGGGCACCGCGGCGGGAUCGAGGGGGGACCGAAGGGGCACCGCGGCGGGAUCGAGGGGGGACCGAAGGGGCACCGCGGCGGGAUCGAGGGGGGACCGAAGGGGCACCGCGGCGGGAUCGAGGGGGGACCGAAGGGGCACCGCGGCGGGAUCGAGGGGGGACCGAAGGGGCACCGCGGCGGGAUCGAGGGGGGACCGAAGGGGCACCGCGGCGGGAUCGAGGGGGGACCGAAGGGGCACCGCGGCGGGAUCGAGGGGGGACCGAAGGGGCACCGCGGCGGGAUCGAGGGGGGACCGAAGGGGCACCGCGGCGGGAUCGAGGGGGGACCGAAGGGGCACCGCGGCCCGCCCAGCUCCGCCGUCAGCCGCCGGGUGCCGCGGUUGCCGGGUUACCGCGAACGCGGCCCCGCGUCGGCGGCGGCCCUGCGGCCUCAGUUCCCGCCGAACGCGCUGCGGGCGCGCUGUGCCCCAGCGUGUGCGAGCGGCUACGCCGCGACAACCGCCAAAUGAUUUGUUCUCAGAGCAUUGGUCUCUGCGAGCCAAUCCUGAAUUUCAUUUGAAGUUUUGUUGAGGAAUUGUCGUUCAUCUGCGACAUCCUCCAUCCAAAAUGGC